AUAUAUCGUCGUGAUUGUCACGUUUCGUUAGAAUCGUUAGUAUAUUGUCGUGAUAUUCUCGCCUGGUGACUGACAACUACUGGCUACUACUAUCGUACUCUCUUUAGAGUAGAAGCGAGCGUACAGACACGUUAUUCGAUGGGCACCGACGUUCUCCACUCUUCUUCUUUGGUCGAGCUAGCUGGCACCCAAUGGGCCACCCAUUCGCCACCCAUUGAUAUAUAGUAACACGCAUCGACGUCGAUCACGUUACUCGAAGCGAUCUUGCGUCGAUUCUUCCUCUUCUUUCCUUCUCUCCUCUCCUCUUUUCACUCCCUACUUCCUGUCACUCUUUCCUGUUAUAAUAUAGAGACGUUUGUUUUAAGCCUUAUGCAGUGUUAAAAGGUUUUGACAGUUUGUUGCUAUCUAAACGUUUUGACCUGAGUUCGCUCGAUGACUCAUCAGUAGGCCUGAUGAGCGGACCCUACUUUAAACGUACUCAAUAUAUUCUCGUUAUAGGACAAACAGAUCACUAGAACCUAUAUAUAUAUAUACCUGAUAUAUAUAUAUAUAUAUAUAUAUAUAUAUAUUGUAACGCUACAACGUAUAGUGCUUUCGAGGGAACGUGCGAUUUUUAUUAGAAUCUGCGACGCCUAGCGGCAGACAGGACGAAGUCUGCAUACCUACAAUGAGGGUGUUACUUUCAUGGUUACCGUUAGUUCGGACAUGGCGCGAGAUUCAUCGAUACAUGCUUUUUAUAUAAAUCGAAUUUCUCACAUUUACUAGGAUAUAUAUCAUGGUUUUCAUAUAGUUAAAAAAAAAAAAAAAAUUCGAGAUAAUUUAUUUUUAAUUAUUAGAUUAGUUUAUUUUGGAGUUAUUAAUAUUUAAAAGAAAUAAUUUCUUAUUAUUAUUCAAUGUUCUCGAGAACGAUCUUUCGCUAUUAGAAUCUUAGCUAAAACAAUGUUUCAAAUUUUUAAUUGGAAUAGAUAUCGUAAAUUUGAGUUGCGUAGAUUGAAAUUCGUUAUCGCCAUGGAACCGGAUUUCCCUUCGUUAUUCAUUAAAGAAGAAAAAAAAAAAAUAAGAAUAAAUUAGAAUUUCGAUAAACUUUUCUAUUUUAUUAUCAAAUUAAGCUUAUUUGUUUUUUUUUUUUUUUUUUUAAUUAGAAGACAUAUGUACGUUCUACUAAAGUAAAAAUGGAAUGAGUAUAUUUUUAUCGUUAAUACUCGGCCGAGUUUUCACGAUCAAUCUCAUCCACAAUCGGUGAACUAUAUACGAAUAGUCUUCUAAAAAUAUCGCGAACGGAUCUCUUUCUCGUUUGAAUUAAUAAUUACAUUAGUUCUUUUUUUUCUAUUGUUUUGUUUUUUUCUUAUACGGAAAAUCUAAUUUUCUAGCUGAUGUAUAAAUAAUUUGGAUACAAAAUUUAAUUUGAAAUUUGUUUAAUAGUGUUGAUAAUAAAGGAUUGAUCAAUCCUUUACAUUAUUAUUAAUUAGUUGAUAUUUUUAGCGAGGUAGAUUCAUCAAUAUUUUACUUUAUACAGAGAAUAUAUAUAUAUAUAUAUAUAUGUGUGUGUGUGUGUGUGUGUAUAAAAUUGUGUAGUUAUGUAGAUAUGUACUUGCAAUAGAAGAUACGAAUAUAUGUACAUACAUAAGUGCAUGCACGAUCAUUGAUGAGUGAACGCUUUUUGAAUGAGGAUUGGAAACGAACGAAGCGCCAUUUGCUCGAUUACCAUUCACAGAGACUGUACCAUUGGAUGAUAGUUCAGUAAACAUUAUCUUUAGAUA